rnacentral:misc_RNA from 1 species
AGUCGUAACAAGGUUUCUGUAGGUGAACCUGCAGAAGGAUCAUUAGUGAAAGUUUCGGGCCUGCCAUACGGACGCAAACACGUCUCUGGCGCCCAUCACUAUAUCCAUACCAACCCCUGUGCACUGUGAUGACGAAUGUCAUCGAACAAAAAAAAACUCGUAUGGUUGAAUGUACGUGAAAUUGUAGGUAUAGCCUACGAACUAUACACAACUUUCGACAACGGAUCUCUUGGUUCUCCCAUCGAUGAAGAACGCAGCGAAACGCGAUAGGUAAUGUGAAUUGCAGAAUUCCGUGAAUCAUCGAAUCUUUGAACGCACCUUGCGCUCCAUGGUAUUCCGUGGAGCAUGCCUGUUUGAGUGCCGCGAAUUCUCCCUCCCCUUACGGUGGCCGAAAGGCCGAAGUAGGGCGGACGGGGUAGGAUGGGUGUUUGCUGCCUGGGGAUUGUACCAGGCUCGCCCGAAAUGCAUAAGCGCCAGGACCCUCGCUACCGCUCUCUAGGGAAGAGUGGCUAAGCGACCGCUGAGCAUGGCAUGAUACGUCAUUUGCUGUGUGUGGGCGGCCGGUUGGAGAGGUGUCUGCUUUACCAGCCCUAUUUUAAUUCUGGUCUCAAAUCAGGUAGGAUCACCCGCUGAACCUAAGCAUAUCA